rnacentral:tRNA from 1 species
AGCAGUAUGGCGCAGCGGAAGCGCGCCGGGCUCAUAACCCGGAGGUCACACGAUCGAAACGUGUUACUGCUA